AGGACGAACGCUGGCGGCGUGCUUAACACAUGCAAGUCGAACGAUGAAGCCUUUCGGGGUGGAUUAGUGGCGAACGGGUGAGUAACACGUGGGCAACCUGCCCUCCACUCUGGGAUAACUCCGGGAAACCGGGGCUAAUACUGGAUAUGACCUGGGAUCGCAUGGUCCUGGGUGGAAAGUUUUUCGGUGGAGGAUGGGCCCGCGGCCUAUCAGCUUGUUGGUGGGGUGAUGGCCUACCAAGGCGGUGACGGGUAGCCGGCCUGAGAGGGCGAACGGCCACACUGGGACUGAGACACGGCCCAGACUCCUGCGGGAGGCAGCAGUGGGGAAUAUUGCACAAUGGGCGAAAGCCUGAUGCAGCGACGCCGCGUGAGGGAUGACGGCCUUCGGGUUGUAAACCUCUUUCAGCAGGGACCAAGCGUGAGUGAGUGUACCUGCAGAAGAAGCACCGGCUAACUACGCGCCAGCAGCCGC
rnacentral:rRNA from 1 species